CCGGGCGACCGGCGGCACGGGUGAGUAACACGUAUGCAACCUGCCCUCUUCAGGGGGACAACCUUCCGAAAGGGAGGCUAAUCCCGCGUAUANCGGUUUCGGGCAUCCGAGAUCGAGGAAAGAUUCAUCGGAAGAGGAUGGGCAUGCGGCGCAUUAGCUAGACGGCGGGGUAACGGCCCACCGUGGCGACGAUGCGUAGGGGUUCUGAGAGGAAGGUCCCCCACACUGGUACUGAGACACGGACCAGACUCCUACGGAAGGCAGCAG
rnacentral:rRNA from 1 species